AGUAACUGGCAGAGGUUACCUCGUAAAUAGCAUGACCUCUGCUAAAAAAAGUAGGAUGAAUCCUAAGGAAGUUAAUAGCUGAAGGCUGCAGCUACUAGAUUCCAGAGAGUGGCCUGGGGCACAAGAUACUCAACCAGAGCAGACAGUGUCAGCCUCUGUCAUGGAAAGAUUGAACAGGAGAAUCUGGAACCAGGAGUGAGCAGAGCUGGCCCCAGGCCUUGGUGGCUGUGUACUAGUUCUGUGACCUGCAAUCAGUCACUUAACUUCUGUGAGCUCCUCUCUUUCCGUCUGUAAAAAAGGAAUAUGUACUACCCACUUCCUGAGUAGAUGUUGAAGAUGUUGUAAAAGGUUCGAGUCAACCAAUUAAAAGCAAUAGAUCACAUGAAGAUGAGUAUAUCUUCUGUUUGUUGGGACAUAAUCCAGAGAGGAUCUUUCUCCCCAGAUAUUAUGGGAUGGCCACAUUUUACAGCUGAGAGUGGAGUGGAGUCCAGAACAGGAGAAGGCUCUGCAACUGAUUGAGACUGCCUGCUCUGUGCAAACUGCUCUGCCACUUGGGCCAUAUGACCCAGAAGAUCCAGUGGUGCUUGAGGUGUCAGUGGCAGACAAGGAUGCU
rnacentral:lncRNA from 1 species